rnacentral:tmRNA from 1 species
GGGGCUGCAUUGGUUUCGACGCUGGUUGGAAUCGUGUCGGUGCAUGUCGAGCUGAAUGCGCUCGUAAAACAGAUUCAAACAAACUAACUGCAAACGACGAACGUUUCGCACUCGCCGCUUAAUUGCGUGUGAGCCUCACAACAGCAAGCCGAUAGGCUGGGCAAGGGUGGCGCAAGCUGUCCAGGCUGUGGGGUAAUUUCAUUCGGCUGGCUCCGGGUCGGGUACCUUGACCGGGGGCGAGAUCAUAGGGUACUGGCGUCCGGUGUAGCGUGCGACUGCGCGACAACGGUGGCGAGACUCAAAUCAGACCGCUAAACAUGUAGAUCUGCGCGAGGAAGGUUGGCGGACGGGGGUUCAAAUCCCCCCAGCUCCACCA